UGGGGAAUUUUGGACAAUGGGCGAAAGCCUGAUCCAGCAAUGCCGCGUGUGUGAAGAAGGCCUUCGGGUUGUAAAGCACUUUUGUCCGGAAAGAAAUCCUUGGCUCUAAUACAGUCGGGGGAUGACGGUACCGGAAGAAUAAGCACCGGCUAACUACGUGCCAGCAGCCGCGGUAAUACGUAGGGUGCAAGCGUUAAUCGGAAUUACUGGGCGUAAAGCGUGCGCAGGCGGUUUGCUAAGGCCGAUGUGAAAUCCCCGGGCUCAACCUGGGAACUGCAUUGGUGACUGGCAGGCUAGAGUAUGGCAGAGGGGGGUAGAAUUCCACGUGUAGCAGUGAAAUGCGUAGAGAUGUGGAGGAAUACCGAUGGCGAAGGCAGCCCCCUGGGCCAAUACUGACGCUCAUGCACGAAAGCGUGGGGAGCAAACAGGAUUAGAUACCCUGGUAGUCCACGCCCUAAACGAUGUCAACUAGUUGUUGGGGAUUCAUUUCCUUAGUAACGUAGCUAACGCGUGAAGUUGACCGCCUGGGGAGUACGGUCGCAAGAUUAAAACUCAAAGGAAUUGACGGGGUCAUAGCUGUUUCCU
rnacentral:rRNA from 1 species